UUGGCUAUACUUUCAGGGAUCGUUUCUGUAGUUUUUAACUUGGAAAUGUGAUUUGAAUGUGUAGGUCUCCCUAUCUACGAUGAUGAGCCAAUAUGCUUCCUUUUGAGAAUGAAUUGGGUGAAGUGUGAUGGUUUUAUUUCAUGCACUUCAUUCCUGAUGAAUGUUCUUACUGUGUUCCACAGUGUAGAGAAAGGAAGUAUCUUCUGCGUGGG